rnacentral:rRNA from 1 species
CAAUAGCGUAUAUUAAAGCUGUUGCGGUUAAAAAGCUCGUAGUUGGAUUUCUGUCAAGGACAACUGGUCCGCCCUCCGGGUGAGCACAUAGUUUGGUCUUGACAUCUUGCUGGAAGCUGUUGCUGCACUUGGCUGUGUGGCGCAGUGUUCAGCACUUUCACUUUGAGGAAAUUGGAGUGUUUCAAGCAGGCACAUGCCUUUGGACACAGCAGCAUGGAAUAAUUAGAUUGGGCUUUUGCUCCAAUUUGUCGGUUUCUGGAGCUGAGGUGAGUAUUAAUGGGGAUUGUUGGGGGCAUCCGAAUUUAGCCGUCAGAGGUGAAAUUCUUGGAUCUGCUAAAGACGGACAACUGCGAAAGCGUUUGCCCAGGAUGUUUUCAUUGA